CCCUUAUGGAUCCACUUCUGACUUUGGCUCAAAAACUGCAGUAGCAGUAUUCCAAAAAACAAGUGGAAACUUAGCCUUAGCGUGUUGAAUCCCUAACAUAUUCACAAAGGUGCUUUUUUGCAACAGUUUUUCACAAAGACUGCUGCAUUUUGUCACCAUGUUUACAAAUAUCUCAUAAAAACUGUGAUAUGUGACAUGCUAAUACACCAUUUAGAAUUUACAAUUUUCAAUGUUGUAUCUAUUACAGGUAACAACUACUCUUGAAAGGACACAUGUUAAAAAGACAAUGCGGAAUUGGGCAUUCCAUGCAUCUUGUAGACCCUUUGGAUAAAGAAUCAGGGGAUGGCUGCAAGGAUCACUGUUUCUACCUAGAACUGCAGAUGAAAGUUCCAUGAUUUGCAAGGUACGUGUCAAGGACGGAUAUAUAAAAGGAAUUCUUAUUUAUUCACAACUGCAAGACUAAUUGCUUCACUUUGCCUGAAGGCCUAGAGAUUGGUUUUAAUAUGGCACUUCAAAAGUAUGCAUAGAAGUACAGAGAUAGUAAGUGUUAUUGUUUAAGAGGGGAAAAAUCUCAAUAUGAUAUUUGUGACCCUGAAAUGAAAAAUCUAUUUUAUUGACUGAUGUGAAAAUGUUUAUCAGUGCUAUUUUUAAUAUUUAGCUGUACCUUGAAGGUGAAAUGUAUUCUAAUGUAAUGAAAGGCAACAAUUAAGAAUGUAGAAUUUAAAUACAGAAACUUACAUAUUGGUUAAAUGUUUACUUGAAAUCUGUAUAGAAUUUAUAUUUUUAUUGGCUCUUUAGGU